ACUAAAUAGAUACCCAGGUAGUCCACGCCCUAAACGAUGUCUACUAGUUGUCGGGUCUUAAUUGACUUGGUAAACGCAGCUAAACGCGUGAAGUAGACCGCCUGGGGAGUACGGUCGCAAGAUUAAAACUCAAAGGAAUUGACGGGGACCCGCACAAGCGGUGGAUGAUGUGGAUUGAUUCGAUGCAACGCGAAAAACCUUACCUACCCUUGACAUGGAUGGAAUCCCUGAGAGAUUGGGGAGUGCCCGAAAGGGAACCAUUACACAGGUGCUGCAUGGCUGUCGUCAGCUCGUGUCGUGAGAUGUCGGGUUAAGUCCCGCAACGAGCGCAACCCUUGUCAUUAGUUGCUACGAAAGGGCACUCUAAUGAGACUGCCGGUGACAAACCGGAGGAAGGUGGGGAUGACGUCAAGUCCUCAUGGCCCUUAUGGGUAGGGCUUCACACGUCAUACAAUGGUACAUACAGAGGGCCGCCAACCCGGCGAGGGGGUAGCUAAUCCCAGAAAGUGUAUCGUAGUCCGGAUUGUAGUCUGCAACUCGACUGC
rnacentral:rRNA from 1 species